rnacentral:rRNA from 1 species
UACAGAGGGUGCAAGCGUUAAUCGGAAUUACUGGGCGUAAAGCGUGCGCAGGCGGUUUUGUAAGUCAGAUGUGAAAUCCCCGGGCUUAACCUGGGAACUGCGUUUGAAACUACAAGGCUAGAGUGUGGCAGAGGGGGGUGGAAUUCCACGUGUAGCAGUGAAAUGCGUAGAGAUGUGGAGGAACACCGAUGGCGAAGGCAGCCCCCUGGGUUAACACUGACGCUCAGGCACGAAGCGUGGGGAGCAAACAGG